UUUUUUUCGAUUGAUGUGCUA
ensembl:piRNA 21ur-6387 ncRNA